rnacentral:rRNA from 1 species
CCUACGGGGAGCAGCAGUAGGGAAUCUUCCACAAUGGGCGAAAGCCUGAUGGAGCAACGCCGCGUGGGUGAAGAAGGUCUUCGGAUCGUAAAACCCUGUUGUUAGAGAAGAAAGUGCGGGAGAGUAACUGUUCACGUGUCGACGGUAUCGAACCAGAAAGCCACGGCUAACUACGUGCCAGCAGCCGCGGGAAUACGUAGGUGGCAAGCGUUAUCCGGAUUUAUUGGGCGUAACGGGAACGCAGGCGGUCUUUUCAGUCUGAUGUGAAAGCCUUCGGCUUAACCGGAGUAGUGCAUUGGAAACUGGGAGACUUGAGUGCAGCAGAGGAGAGUGGAACUCCAUGUGUAGCGGUGACAUGCGUCGAUAUCUGGAAGAACACCAGUGGCGAACGCGGCUCUCUGGUCUGUACCUGACGCUGAGGUUCGAAAGCGUGGGUAGCAAACAGGAUUAGCUACCCCAGUAGUC